AACGAACGCUGGCGGCAUGCCUAACACAUGCAAGUCGAACGAAGGCUUCGGCCUUAGUGGCGCACGGGUGCGUAACGCGUGGGAAUCUGCCCUUUGGUUCGGAAUAACAGCUGGAAACGGCUGCUAAUACCGGAUGAUGACGAAAGUCCAAAGAUUUAUCGCCAGAGGAUGAGCCCGCGUUGGAUUAGGUAGUUGGUGGGGUAAAGGCCUACCGAGCCGACGAUCCAUAGCUGGUCUGAGAGGAUGAUCAGCCACACUGGGACUGAGACACGGCCCAGACUCCUACGGGAGGCAGCAGUGGGGAAUAUUGGACAAUGGGCGCAAGCCUGAUCCAGCAAUGCCGCGUGAGUGAUGAAGGCCCUAGGGUUGUAAAGCUCUUUUACCCGGGAAGAUAAUGACUGUACCGGGAGAAUAAGCCCCGGCUAACUCCGUG
rnacentral:rRNA from 1 species